rnacentral:rRNA from 1 species
AUGGACGUGCUCGGCCACAGGGCAACCAGUGCGUUCGUGACACACUGCGGAUGGAACUCGGUAAUGGAGGCCAUUGUGGCUGGGGUGCCGAUGUUGUGUCUGCCGCUGGAAGGAGAGCAAAGGAUGAACAAGGUGUCUAUGACAGAGGGCAUGGGCGUUGCUGUGGAGCUGGAGGGAUACAUGACAGGUUUUGUGAAAGCAGGCGAGGUGGAGGCCAAGGUGCGGCUCGUGAUUGAGGGUGAGGAAGGGAGGCAUCUCAGGGCCCGGGUAGCUGCUCUCAGGGAAGAGGCCAAGGCGGCCCUGGAGGAAGGUGGCCCAUCGCGGGUGGCGUUUGUCCAGUUUCUGUUGGAUGUCGAAAAUCUUGGAAAGCAACUCGGCGAUUGA